rnacentral:rRNA from 1 species
GACAGAGGGUGCGAACGUUGUUCGGAAUCACUGGGCGUAAAGGGUGCGUAGGCGGGUCUUUAAGUCAGGGGUGAAAUCCUGGAGCUCAACUCCAGAACUGCCUUUGAUACUGAAGAUCUUGAGUGCGGGAGAGGUGAGUGGAACUGCGAGUGUAGAGGUGAAAUUCGUAGAUAUUCGCAAGAACACCAGUGGCGAAGGCGGCUCACUGGCCCGAUACUGACGCUGAGGCACGAAAGCGUGGGGAGCAAACAGG